rnacentral:rRNA from 1 species
UACGUAGGGUGCAAGCGUUAAUUGGAAUUACUGGGCGUAAAGCGUGCGCAGGCGGCUUUGCAAGACAGAUGUGAAAUCCCCGGGCUCAACCUGGGAACUGCAUUUGUGACUGCAUGGCUGGAGUGCGGCAGAGGGGGAUGGAAUUCCGCGUGUAGCAGUGAAAUGCGUAGAUAUGCGGAGGAACACCGAUGGCGAAGGCAAUCCCCUGGGCCUGCACUGACGCUCAUGCACGAAAGCGUGGGGAGCAAACAGG